CUAUCCUUGGGUAUCCUUGACUUUUAUUCUUGUCCAUUAAUUAGAUAUCCAAAGGCCACCACUUAACCACCUCAGCAUUUAUUCAUUAAAUAUUCAAAAUUACAAUUCCCAAUACAAACAGCUCCGUUUUCUCAUCUAUUCCUCUGUUAACAGAUCGAGUCAAAAAAGAUGGAGGGACUCCUUGACGCCUCGUUUUCCUAUUCCAAUCGUUCUACAAUAUCUUCCCGUGCUCUGUUCUCUCUUAUCUCUUCUCUGCUUCAUUAUCUCUUUCAUCGACUCUGUUUGUCUGGAGAUUUCAAUCGCACCAUCAACUAUCAUAUUAGCUAUGGCGUUAAGAGAUAUAACAAAUAUUGUUGGAGAAGCUAGCUUGGAUGACAUAAGUUGCAAACCAAAAUUUGGUAUGGAAUUUGACUCUGCAGAAGCUGCUUAUAUAUUUUACAACGAGUGGAAGAUGGGAUUCGGUGUUAGAAAGAUAUGCUAAUUCACAUUAAAGCUAGUACGGUUCAGGUUGGACAGAUUCAGUUCGUCCAUUGGUUUAAGCGAGUUAGAUACCUUAACGAUCAUCAAUUUGGCUGAAAAUUUACAGAGAUGAUCUAUACAUUAGUACCUAAAAACUGAACGGUCGAGAUGUGGAUAUGUGACCGAAAAGUGACCCUAAAGUCUAAAUGCGCACUUUAUUUUCAAAGUGGAGCUCUGCUCUGAGUAGGAUCUGUGUGUUUGUGUGUGUGUGUGUAUAAUGUACUAAUGCAGCUAAUUUUGAGUCA